rnacentral:lncRNA from 1 species
AUGAUUUGUUUCAUUUGUAAAAAGGGGCAUGCUAAUGCCAAUGCCCUUAUAAGGCACUUCAAGUUAGUUCAUGGCCUUUGUCCAGGAAAAAGUCUCAAGUUAAAAUGUGCUCAAAGAGGUUGUUCACAUGUUUACCAUAGUUUUUCUGGAUUACGAAAGCAUCUCAGCAAGUGUUGUGCAAUUGACCGUUCACGCAUUGAUUCUGGUGAAAGCUCAUCCACCGCCAACUCCAUUUCAUUAGAUGAUGUAGGUGUUUUAUCAAACCAAAAUCCGCCUUGUGAGUCUGCACUCUUAAAAACAAAUAUAGUAAACAGUUGUGCAACAGUGGUGGCUGAACUUAAAGUUGCUGGUGUCGCAGAGACAACUAUUAACUAUGUUGUUGGUGCUCUAGAAGAAGUGAUUGGAGAUAUUCAUAGUGAAACUCAAGAAUCAGUGAAAAACAGCCUAUCCUUAGAGGAGCCCAUAAAAAGUGUUGUCGAGUCUCAAAUAGAUCAGUUUUUUGAAAAAAUACAAAAUCCUUUUGCGACAUUAAACACUGAAAGCAAGAGAAUGCGGUACUUUUCAGACAAAUGGGGGAAAAUAGAUCCUGUUGAAUAUGUUCUUGGAACAAGAUUUGCAACGCGGCGUAACAGAACAACUGGAACUUUUGCCCAAACCAUUGUUAAGGAUAAAUUUGUAUAUAUACCAAUUCUUGAGACUUUACAGUCCAUUUAUAGACACCCUAGCAUUACAGAUAUGAUGGCGAGAGAUUCACAACAAAGACCAAAUUGUCUUUAUGACAUACACGAUGGAGAAUUCUUUAAGAGGCAUGCACUCUUCUCAAAACAAAGACAUGCAGUUCAGAUCCAGCUUUUUUUUGAUGAAUUUGAAUGCUCAAACCCCCUUGGAUCAAAACGAGGAAUACAUAAGUUAGGAGCUAUCUAUUUUACCCUUAGAAAUAUUUCCCCUAAAUACAAUUCGAGUUUACUAAAUAUACAUUUAGUCACUUUAUUUCAUGCACAAGAUAUCAAAACCUAUGGGUUUGAUAAAAUACUAGAGCCACUUGUCCAGGAUAUCUCAACACUGGAAACCAUUGGAAUUCAGAUUCCUUUAUUUGAUCAGACAGUUUAUGGAACCAUUGUCCAGGUUACUGGUGACAACCUUGGUGUCCAUUCCUUGUUUGGUUUUGUGGAAUCAUUUAGUGCCAGGUACUGUUGUCGCUUUUGCCUACUAGAGAAAGAGGACUUUCAGACAGUGUUCAGUGAAGAUAGUCCAAAGAUGACAUGCUGA